rnacentral:rRNA from 1 species
UACGUAGGUGGCAAGCGUUGUCCGGAAUUAUUGGGCGUAAAGCGCGCGCAGGCGGUCCUUUAAGUCAGAUGUGAAAUCCCCGGGCUCAACCUGGGAAUGGCAUUUGAAACUGGCGUGCUAGAGUGAAUCAGAGGGGGGUAGAAUUCCACGUGUAGCAGUGAAAUGCGUAGAGAUGUGGAGGAACACCGAUGGCGAAGGCAGCCCCCUGGGAAAUCACUGACGCUCAAGCACGAAAGCGUGGGGAGCAAACAGG